CCCAGAUUUAAAGAGGAGUCUGUAAUUUGCUUUCUAAUGAUCAUGAUCUUUUCCUCAAAGAAGUUCAUAAAUUUAUUACUGCUGAAGUGAAAGCCAUCCUCCAUUUGCGAAGGCUGCUUUUUAGUUAGCUUUGCGACAGUAUCAAAAAGAAAUUUCGGAUUGUUCUUAUUUUCCUCAAUUAAGUUGGAAAAAUAGGAUGAUCGAGCAGCAGUAAGGGCUCUUCGAUACUGCACGGUACUGUCUUUCCAAGCUAGUCGGAAGACUUCCAGUUUGGUGUGGCGCCAUUUCCGUUCCAAUUUUGGUGUGGCGCCAUUUCCGUUCCAAUUUUCUGGAAGCUUGCUUCAGAGCUCGUGUAUUUUCUGUAUACCAGGGAGCUAGUUUCUUAUGACAGAUGUUUUUAGUUUUUAGGGGUGCAGCUGCAUCUAGGGUAUUGCGCAAGGUUAAAUUGAGUUCCUCGGUUAGGUGGUUAACUGAUUUUUGUCCUCUGACAUCCUUGGGUAGGCAGAGGCAGUCUGGAAGGGCAUCAAGGAAUCUUUGGGUUGUCUGAGAAUUUAUAGCACGACUUUUAAUGCUCCUUGGUUGGGGUCUGAGCAGAUUAUUUGUUGCAAUUGCAAACGUAAUAAAUGGUAUCAAGCUUUUCAAAUUAUAAACCUGUUAUAAUAUUCACUGACCGUUAUAUAAAAAAAUGCAGGCUAUUUGUAUUACUGAUGUCACACCCUAAGAUGUAAAGGAAGAGACCUAAUGCUGCAUUCAUAAUCAAGUGUGAAGGUGGUAAUUACCAGUUGUGAAGUCGUAGAUACCAGUUGGAUGCAUUCACAUGCUUUGAACUCAUUUGGCUAAUGGCCAAUAAGAUGUGUCAAUCAUAAACUAAAAGUAGGCUGCCGCUAUCAUAAUCGCAAACAAAUUAUAGUUACAUUUAACUGCCGAAAAUGCAGUUAUCAAGGUAAUUUCCUAAGAACAUGCUAUCAGAGGUCAGCAUGUGGAAGAAAUUGGAGCUCAGGGAAUUAUAGACUAGUUUCCACUAGUAAUUACAAGUUGGAGGGGCGUUCAUGUGGAUUCCCACUUGUGCGGUUUAUGGGAGGUUUCGGAAUAAACUCAUAAAGUUAAAUAGACAUCCCAUCAUUGUCCCAUUAUGGCAUAUGUGAAAGCACAGGCAGCACCAUUGAGGCCAUCUCCAUUUUGAAGUAGUCAAUGUUCUUAAACUACUACUUCUGAGUUGGCAAGCAAACAUAAAGGGUGUGUACUGCCACCAGGAGUGUGCUGUUUGAACAAAAAGCCAAGGUUGGCGAUUUCCUGCCACUUGCAGUUAUGUAAUGUUUGCUCAUGAAAUCAAACCAAAUUUUAUUGGUCACAUACACAUACUUAGCAGAUGUUAUUGUGGGUGUAGUGAAAUGCUUGUGUUCCUAGCUCCAACAUUGCAGUAAUAUCUAACAAUUCACAACACACACAAAUCUAAAGUAAAACAAUAGAGUUAAGAAAUAUAUAAAUAUUAGGACGAGCAAUGUUGGAGUGGCGUUGACUAAAAUACAGUAGAAUAGAAUAUAGUAAAUACAUAUGAAAUUAGCAAAGCAGUAUGUAAACAUUAUUAAAGUGACUAGUGUUCCAUUAUUAAGUGACCAGUGAUUCCAUGUCUAUGUAUAUAGGGCAGCAGCCUCUAAGGUGCAGGGUUGAGUAACCAGGUGGUAGCUGGCUAGUGAUGAGUGUAAUUUAUUGGCUGAUCCUUCCGUAACCUAUAGGAUGUCCCUCCCAGUUGACUACUUAAAAAUUGUGAAAGUCCUCAAUAGCGCUUGGGGGACUAGAGUCCUCUAUCUAUCUCUAUGGAGACAGGGAGACAGGAUAGGCAGUUGGUUUUGGGGAUUCGCACUGUUGACCCGACGUCACAAUCGGGGGGGUUAUAAAAUCCCCUGAAUUGAUACCUCAAGUCAUUCGCAGUGAGAAAAGCCAUAGACAAGGCAGUCACACCGUACGUAAUUGGAACAGAGAAAGAAACAGCCAACAAAAUGACGACUGUUUACAUUGGAUUCCUUCUCCUUGCCAUGCUUUUUUCAUCACAGGUCCAUGCGCAAAACGCUACCACACAGUCCCUUGCUACGAAUGUGACCAAAGCUGACUUGACGAAUUCCACGAUGUUCAACGUCACUACCACGAACGUCACUACCACGAACGUCACUACCACGAACGUCACUACCACGAACAUCUCCACCACGAACCACUCCACUCCUCAAGGAGCCAGUGUGUCCUUGCAGUCCAGUGCAUUCACACUCCUCAUCCCUGUGGUGGGCUCGCUCCUACAGGGCUGCUUCUAGAGUGUUCAUCUGCACUGAACAAACGCCAAGACUAACAUCUGCAGCCUAGAUGUGCAAAUGUUUUACAAAGAGCACAUUAUUAAUUCUCGGAAUGUAGCCAUUUGCGCACCUAAGCUGUGGGAUUCGGUGGCACGGGCAAGAACACUUGUUUUUUCAUUGAUGGGAUUCUUGUUUGUGCUCGCACCUCCUGGCUGCUUCAAACCGUAGGCCUACACUCUGUGCUCACUGGCCCCAAGCCCAUGGCGUGGCAACAAGCUGUCUCACUGCAGAAUGGGACAUUUGUCCAUAUACCUUUGCGGUUGUUUAGGCAUUAAUUCACAAAUGGUUAAGGUUUGGGAUAGGGUUAAGACAUUUAAAGUGCCUAGCACUGGGAUUGAACACAUGACUAAUUAAUGGUAAUAGUGCUCACCAUUGCCCCUAGUGGCCAAUUUCGAAGUAAUCUCCUGACAUCCUGCUUACCUGGAAAGAUGUCUAAUUUAGCAGUGGUUCUUCAGUGACCUGGCUGUUGCCUCCAUGGAGGCAGGCCAUAAUGAGGAUCUAUUAAACUCUAUUCUUUGACUCAAUUAUGGUGUAAUUGCAGACCGCAAUUCAUGGAGUUUCUAGAUAUCAGGAAAAGCACAUUGGUGCCUGCUUUUCCUGAUAAAGAAACACCCUGAAUUUGUCAGUUCCGGUGUUGAGACUGAUGGUUUCUCGACAUUUGUUUACAUGGCAGGUAAGGAUAAUUAACGUGGCUGGUUAGGUGACUUGGUGUGCCAGGUUAGGAGAAUGAGGUAAAGGGUUAGCUUUAGAUAGUGUUGUCCCCAACGUUAACUACAUGGCCACAGACCAGUGGUGAGCAUCAAUGGGUGUAACUUGAUUUCAAGAAACGCACAUCUGAAACACCCCUACUCCUUUCAUUCACUUGGUCCCACUGUUCCUGAUUUCAGACAGCAGUUUAACUUGUGUACAUUUUGGCUGUGCCUGGAGUAAUCAACUGAAUAACUGAUGUUUGAGGUGCGUUGUGGAAAAUAACAGCCUGUCUGAUCUGUGGCACUUAUGUCCUUAACAGUGCUAUUUUUACUCCUGCAACUGCAAUGGAUACUAUGUCAGAGGCUUGAUGAAGCCUACACUUGUGAUGAACUUAUUGAAUUUUAUAUUGUAAACAUGUGACUUAUGUAAGUCAGUGAUGCUUUUAGAUCUCGUAUGUCAGGUUCAAUAAAGCUUUGAAAUGUACUUGUCAUGAGAUUUAAUGUCCUUGUACAAUAAAAUGUGACAUUUAAUAUAACUGACUUAUCCUGUCAAUUCCAAAGCUUGGCAUGUCAACUCAUUGGCUUUUCCAUCUGUCUUACAAGUCCAAUGCAGCAGGUCUUUCUCAAUCAAAUUACUGGUUAACAAUUGUGUGCCUUACAGAGAUUUUUCUAUAAAAAUGGUCAAACUAUUGGCUGCUUAGCAAAGGGCAAGAAUUUUGCUAGAACUGGUGGGGAAAAUUCUGUUUAAUGGCAAAUGUUUGGAACUUAUUAGUCUAACCAAUUUAGUGGGACUUCACCAUGGGAAUCCAUGCUGUCUACCACAACGGGCUGCCUUUUCAAAUGGCGCUUAUUCCAACUUCUGUGGCAAGGCAUAACACAGUAAUCCAAUUUAACUGCCUGGGCCUUUUUUAAGCCCCUAUUGAUUACAUGCAGUGCAUUUGGAAAGUAUUCAGACCCCUUAAAAAAGUUAGACUUUAUAAAAUACAUUGAGGAUAAUCUACACUUGGUUGACUGUCCACAAAGUGAAAACAGGUUUAGACAUUUUUCUGCAACAAAAGAAAUCCCUUGAAGUAUUUGAAAUUGUGCUCAGGUGCAUCCUGUUUCCAUUGAUUUGUUUCUACAACUUGGAGUUCACCUGUGGUAUAUUCAAUUGAUUGGACAUUAUUUGGAAAAGGCACACAAGGUCCCACAGUUGACAGCAUAUCAGAGCAAAAACCAAGCCAUGAGGUUAAAGGAAUUGUCUGUAGAGCUUUGAGAAAGGAUUGUGUCUAGGCACAGAUCUGGGCAAAGCUACCAAAACAUUUCUGCAGCAUUGUAGUCCCACAGUGGCCUCCAUUAAAUGAUAGUUUGGAACCAAGACUCUUCCUAGAGCUAGCCGCCCGGCCAAACUGAGAAACCUGGGGGAAAAGGGCCUUGGUCAGGGAGGUGACCAAGAACCCGACGGUCACUCUGACAGCUCCAGCAUUCCUCUGUGGAGAUGGGAGAUUCUUCCAAAAGGACAACCAUCUCUGCAGUGCUUCACCAAUCAGGCCUUUUAUGAUAGGGGCCAGACAGAAGCCACUCAGUAAACAGCACAUGACAGUCCUCUUGGAGUUUGCCUAAAGGCACCUAAAGACACAGACCAUGAGAAACAAGAUUCUGUGGUCUGAUGAAACCAAGAUUGAAUGUUAAGUGUCACGUCUGGAGGAACACUGGCACCAUCCAUAUAGUGAAGCAUGGUGGUGGCAGCGUCAUGCUGUGGGGAUGUUUUUCAGCAGCACGGACUGGGAGACUAGUCAGGAUUGAGGGAAAGAUGAACGAAGCAAAGUACAGAGAGAUCCUUGAUGAAAACCUGCUUAGGACCUCAGACUGGGUCGAAGGUUCACCUUCAAUAGUUCAAUGACCCUAAGCACACAACCAAGACAACGCAGGAGUGGCUUCGGGACAAGUCUCUUAAUGUCCUUGAGUGGCCCUGCCUGAGCCCGGACUUGAAUCCGACCGAACAUCUCUGGAGAGACCUGAAAAUAGCUGUGCAGCGACGCUCUCCAUCCAACCUGACAGAGCUUGAGACGAUCUGCGGAGAAGAAUGGGAGAAACUUCCCAAAUGCAGGUGUGCUAAGCUUGUAGCGUCAUACCCAAGAAGACGUGAGGCUGUAAUCGCUGUCAAAAGUGCUUCAACAAAGUACAGAGUAAGGGGUCUGAAUACUUAUGUAAAUGUGAUAUUUAAUUUUUGUAUACAUUUGCAAACAUUUCUAAAAACCUGUUUUUGCUUUGUCAUUAUCGGGGUAUUGUGUGUAGAUUGAUGAGAGAACCCCCACCAUUUUUAGAAUAAGGCUGUAACUUAACAAAAUGUUGAAAAAGUCAAGGAGUCUGAAUACUUUCCGAAUGAACUGUAUCUAGGCCUCCCAGUGGUUUGAGUUAAAACUGGUUUGACUGUCCACCUAAUGUCCUUAUUUUAGCAUUUGCCAUUGAAGGGCAGCUAUUUUUCAGCCAUCUCAAACCAUGUGACCAAUUUAAUUUGGUGGCCUACUUGGCACCACUUUAAUGACUCUUAACAUGCUUACUGGCUGUCUGCAUUUUGUAUAGCAGGUUGUUUGUCAUGAAUCUUGCCCUGGAGGCAGAAUUGAGCGAUUUUUCGGCUGCAAAGUCAGAAUUGGCUACAGUGUAAAAAUGUAUGCAAACAAAAAUGACCUUUUUGGUCUUAAUUUAAGAUGAGAUUUAGGUUUUAUGAUUCUGGCUGUGCCAGUUAUCAACCACUGCAGAGCUGCCUCCAGUGUAAGAUUCAUGACAAAUGCCAACCUGCUUUUGUAUAUUUGAUCUAAAUCAAAGAAGUGGGAUUCUACAUCCUUCGAAUCCUUCCAUUACCUUGAUUUUGGGUCUCGCUUUUUGGUUCUCGUCCAAAGGAAGGGUAAACUACAUUCUAAAUCACUUGACAAGAUUCUUAUUGUUUCUUCAGAUUUAGAAGCGGAGCCUGAAGUUCUUUCCAAUGGUUCAUUUAAAUGACAAGAUUUUGAUUGUGGUAACACAGGCUACUGUGGCAAUUUAAGAUUUGUUUCAAUCAAGUAGUUUUGUCUCCCUCUGCUCCCUGUAAGCAAAGCAUCGUAUGAGUCACUUAAACCACCCACACCUAGGAUUAUAUGCAUCAACUAAACAUGUUCAUCUCCUUAGUUUCGAAUAAUCCUGCUUUGGAUCACAGUGAAGCUCUGUAAAGGUUGUGUACUGUAUUGGUUGGCAACAAGACGAGUGCUGAUGGUGCACCAGGGGAAUUGUGUUUUGUAUGAGGUGUUUAAGGUUGAGUUAUUUAAUUCAGAGUCAGAACAUUUUUGCCGUUCAUAGGGAUGGGAAAUGAAAGGAAACGGUGGGUUAACUGCCUUGCUCAGGGGCAGAACGACACAUUUGUACCUUGCCAGCUCAGGGAUUCGAUCCAGCAACCUUUCGGUUACUGGCCUAACGGUCUAACCACUAGGCUACAUGCCAGAUGUGCGGUAGUGUUGCUCAAGAAACAAAAAGAUCACGUGUCAAGAUUAAACCCUGACAAUUCUACAUGAGCCUUGCUAACAGGGCCUGGUAAGUGAGUAUCAUCAAGCAUUAGUGUUCCCUCUCAAGAUCACGUUCAUAGGCAUGUCCUCAUAGCUCCCAUUUUCUACAGUCUGCGCUUUGCAGGCAGUCAUUUUCUGAGGAAGGAAUUUGCAUUGAUUUACAUCCAUUUGUUUUCAUUUGUAUCCCAUCUCCUACCUGCAUGCAGCGGUCUGUUGGUAAAAUCACUGUGGAAGCCAGUGACAACUAAAAGAUACCAAAAACUAUUUAGUCGUCAACAUAAGCUAAAUAUGUAGCUGUCCAUGGUUCUGAUUUUUGUUUGCGUGUGUGCGUGUUCAUGCAAGAAGAAAAACAUGUUGACUCACCCUACUUGUAGAGAAACGCCAAUGCCACCCUCCCCUCUUUCAUGUUUACGAAAUGAUAUAUCACUUUGUCAUACAGUACACGCUUUUAUUUUUUGUUGUCCUAGGCUAACUGGCUAAAAUGCUUGCUCGAUUGCCUAACUUCCAUUCAUGGGAAACGUUAGCUAGUUAACAUUAGCAUUCUACAUCUAGCUACAUAUUGAACUUCCAUUCUCUCAGGCCAGGGGCACAACAAUGUAUGAAUUAAUAGUUGGAUCAGAGUUGCCGU
rnacentral:lncRNA from 1 species